rnacentral:rRNA from 1 species
CCCUUAGAUGUUCUGGGCCGCACGCGUGCUACACUGAGUAAUUCAAUGGGUAUGGGAACGCUAGAGCAUUACCUAAUCUUGAAAUUUGCUCGUGAUGGGGAUCGACGGUUGCAAUUUUCCGUCGUGAACGAGGAAUACCUUGUAGGCGCAUGUCAUCAUCAUGCGCCGAAUACGUCCCUGCCCUUUGUACACACCGCCCGUCGCUCCUACCGAUUGAGUGAUCCGGUGAGGCUCUGGGACCUGGACGGAAAGAGCGUUUCGCUUGUUCUGUUUGGGAAACUUGGUCGAACCUUAUCAUUUAGAGGAAGGAGAAGUCGUAACA